GAGUUUGAUAAAACCGGUGAUCAUCUUGCCACGGGUGACCGGGGUGGUCGGGUGGUUCUGUUUGAAGGACCGAUUCAAAAGAUGUUGGUGGAUCCAGAAGGGAUCUGGAAGGAAUCGACCAUACUGUUAGUAGACAUCCGGAGUUUCACUACAAGACAGAGUUUCAGAGCCAUGAGCCUGAGUUUGACUAUCUGAAGAGCUUGGAAAUAGAGGAGAAAAUCAAUAAAAUCAGAUGGUGCCAAACAGCCAAUAGUGCUCUCUUUCUCCUAUCUACCAAUGAUAAAACUAUUAAGUUCUGAAGGUAGGA